GUCAAGGUUUGGAACGUGGCAGCACGUUGUGUGGUCAGAGCGUCUGAUGUGACCUGGAACAAGAGAGGUGACAGCUGGCAGCUGAGCUUAACACAGCUGUGCAUGUUGGGUGUGAAUCUGCUUUGGGACACAUCUCUAAAGUGUGCAGGUUUUUAUCAGGUAUGCAGUACUGCUCUGAGCACUGUGCAGAAAGGUACAGAUGUGCCUCUUACCUUUACAACCUUCACAAGUGAUGUCCAUAAUCUCUAACAGCUCCCCAGGAAUGCACCUCGAUCUCAAGGACACUUCUUCAGCUCACACACACAUUCAUUAACCCUUUGCCAUGCAAGCAAGUAAACACUCCAUGCACACAGAGGUGAGCUACGCAUUGUGAAAUCAUUAAAACCUUGACAGCAUGUAGCACAUGUAGCCAGUAGUAAUUUUCAAAACAAAAAACUUGGACAAGGUUGAAAUCAGACUGGGGGAACAGCUUUGGGUGUUUUGUUCAUUUACAGUCAUGCCAUUCCCAAGUCAAAAUAUUUUAUCAUCAUUAUCAUGGAUGCCCAUUUUUCUCUUGUAUAUUUACUCAAAAUGUAGCCAUUCUUUCUGUGUGCUUUAAAAAUAGGGAAAAAACAAAAACACAACAAAAUAUUUCCUAGAAAGGACUCAAAAAGAUCUUUAGCCUUAAAAGUGGGAAUAAUUGAAAACAAAAGCAGCUGCAUUUUUUAAUAACUUGUUCCAUGGUAUCACAAGCAAUACAGUUUUGAGUCCUUUAUGAGAAAUUCUGACUUCCGAGUAAAUUUCAACAUGCCAUGUUGUGCCUUCCUUUUCCUUCUUCACUGUCUACACUGUUAGCUAUUUCUGCUGUAUUGCUGUGUGUGAAAUCCUGAACAUUUGGAGAUUACUUCUUCUUCUUUUUUUUUUAGGAGCCUCCACCAGCUGACAGAUUCUUCUCCCUUCUUCUGAAAAGCUGACCUAAGAAUAAGUUGCUUAAGUUCUUUUGAAGCUGUUGCACUUUUGCAGAUUUAUUUUUGACAGUUAUCAGUUUUCUCAAAUAAGAAUGUUCAAUGUAAACUGUAGUGUGUGUUUAUUCAAAGCACUGGUUGUCCAUCUUAUACAGAAAUUCAGUAAUAUUCAGUUAUUAGUCCUAACUGGAAGACUUCAUGAUAUCAAAAUGGAAACCAUCAAGUAGUUAAUUGAUUAAAAAAUAACAACAUUUCAAAACAAUUUUUGUUUACUGUUGUUCAUGGCAAGAAUUGUUUUUUGUGGUUUAU